AACACGAAGACAAGGAGACGCAGGCCAGCUGUGGUGUGGGUGUGGCUAGUGCCGGGGAACAGUCUCUGAGGUGCAGAAAGUUGGCUGUGACUCAGACAUCAUUCUGAGCUACCACUCCACACUCUGGACCCCACAGCAACCGCUGGUUGGUCCAUUGUGUUCAGGUAUUUCAACAGGAACCCUGGCAGCUCCUGAACGUCUAUGGAAAAGAGGGGAGAAGAGCACCUUCCGUUGAGAGUCCUGAUGGCCACUCGAGGCCCUGCCGAUAAUUAGUGGCAAGCUGGGACUGGCGCUCAGAUGAGGAAAGCAAGGACUAGAGGAGGCAGGAACCAAGGCCACACAGCAGUCAGUGGGUGGCCUUGAGACAACUCCAGAAGCUUGUCUUAAGCACCCAUUCCUGCAACCACUUGAUUAUGUCCCUCACCCCAAAACUAAGAGGACAUUCUCAUUGGAUUGUGAAGAUUUAGUGAGCCAAUGUUUAUUUUUAAAUGCCGGCCCAGAGGUGUUCAGCAAAUACUAAUUCCUUUCUUCUUUCUGUCUGGGUUCCAG
rnacentral:lncRNA from 1 species